GGAUGGUGGGCGGGCUCCGAGCCCAGCUCCACUGGCCCCGGCCGCGGGGCUCGCCCCUCCGUCCCCAAACGACCGUCUCCGCUGCCAUGAGAUGCCGACAGCCUGUGCGCUGGCCGCCACCCCCUGCUCCAUCAGGUGCUGGAAUCUGAGUAAAAGCCUGGGCGCGAGCUCCCAGCCCCGGGGCCUGCCACCGGCUCCACGAAGCGGGCAGCUCCAGCGGCCGCCGGGAGAAGGAAGGGCGACCGGGGGAGACGGGUCGCAGGGACAGCACGUGGCGGAAAGUUAGCCCCGGACUAGCACGCCCCACCCGGAGAAGCCGGCCUGGAAGGGGCUGCGGACCACCAGGCGGAGCGGUGGGCGACCGAAGUGCGGCUGGGCUGGCCUCCUCGUCUCCGCACUGGAAGAAUUGCCCUUCCGCAAGUCUUCCCUUCCCACAUGGGGGCCCUCCAGGCCGCACCUCGGUCGCCCACCGCUUCCCUUGAGAAGGGAGACUAAAGACAGGCAUCUGGAAGCUGUCACUGUGGCGCGCGGGCAGACAGGGGAUCCCAUUGGAGAGGAAGAGCCGUAGUAGUCGCUGCUGCCUUCGGCCGACCCAACGGCCGCCUGCUUGGGAGGAAGAAAAAGAACGCCCCCGCUGAAGAAUUAAGGCAGCCAUUGGUUGCUCUAGGGGGUUACAAGAUGGGCAGUACAAUAGAGGAUGGACUGGAGUUGGAAAAGACUAAAGCAGCAAGUUUGAUAAGGAGGCUACAGCAAUAGUCCAGGUGAAAGACGCAAGAGCCCAAAAUGCAGCAGUGGCCAAGGGAAUGGAUCUGAGAUAAAGUUCAGAAGAUAGAGUUGGCAGGGCAGGUGAGGAGAAGAGAAGAAGGCCACAUGAAGAUGGAGCAAGAGAUUGGAGUGAUGUGGCCACAAGCCAAGGAAGCUGAGGAAUGAAGACAGCUAUCAGAAGCUGGAAGAGGAAAAGAAUUCUCUCUUGGGGUCUGCAGAGGGAGAACAGCCCUGCCAACACUUCCAUUUCCAAUGUCUGGACUCUAGAACUGUGAGAAAAUAAAUUCCCAUUAUUUUAAGGAACA
rnacentral:lncRNA from 1 species